GGAAGAAAGCUUUGCUCCAGGUUGAUAUUUCAAUUUUCGAUUUUCUUCAUCAGAUUUGGUUUAUUUUUAUUUUAUUUUUUGUUGGAAUUAAACUAGGACCUCUAGAUUAGGAUUUUAAAGAAUUAAUAGUUUCCAAGCGGAUUAAGUGUAUUUCUUAGGUAUCUAUGAGUAAGCUAUUCAUUUCAAUUUGUUUCAAAUUGUUGGUAGGAUUUCUUAUUUUGAGGAUUUGAUUUAGGGAUUUUAAUCUUCUCAUGUAUGAAAAUUUUGACUAUUACUGUUUUUUGUUUUUUUUUUGUGUGAUUAAUAGGGAGAGAAUACAAAGAGAAAAUUUGAUGCCACGCCACUUUCUUCAACCUCCUCCCUCUUUGGGGUUGGUUUUAGAAAAAGAUGGAUUACCUGUGGAUUAAUAUAUGGAAUUACAGUUUAUGAAUUGUUUUUUUCUUUCUUCUAGCUGGUGUCUUUGCUGGGCUGUCCAAAAUGAGUGUUUCUUCAAAUGGCCUCAACACCCUGGGUUGUACGCUGCACAGAGAGAGAGAGAGAGAGAGAGAGAGAGAGAGAGAGGCAUGGGAAUGUGGGAUUGUAGUUUGGGCAUUUAGUUUUUGGUGAGAUUCUUUAUUUAUUAGACUUUAAUAAAUAUUUGAGAUUAAAGAGGCAAGAGAGAGAGAGGCAUGGGAAUGUGGGAUUGUAGUUUGGGCAUUUAGUUUUGGGAGACUUUGGAAAAGCCCAAAGGAGAGAGAAAAAUUUUAAAAGAAGCCAAAAUGGACAAAAUUACCCUUAUUUAUUUUUUGAUUUCCUAAGGAAUCCUUUACAUUUGCAUGUCUUUUGUUUGAAAGUUGAGAGGUUUUUCUGUCUUUUUUGAAAAAGCUUUGGCUUUUUCCAAAAGUGAAAGUUUUUUUUAUGGGUAAAACCUAAAUUUACUUUUAGUUU
rnacentral:lncRNA from 1 species